rnacentral:tRNA from 2 species
GCACGAGUGGCUCAGUGGUGGAGUAUUGCCUUCCCAAGGCGAGGGUCGCGGGUUCGAAUCCCGUCUCGUGCU